rnacentral:rRNA from 1 species
CCUACGGUAGGCAGCAGUCGAGAAUCAUUCACAAUGGGGGAAACCCUGAUGGUGCGACGCCGCGUGGGGGAAUGAAGGUCUUCGGAUUGUAAACCCCUGUCAUGUGGGAGCAAAUUAAAAAGAUAGUACCACAAGAGGAAGGGACGGCUAACUCUGUGCCAGCAGCCGGGGUAAUACAGAGGUCUCAAGCGUUGUUCGGAAUCACUGGGCGUAAAGCGUGCGUAGGCUGUUUCGUAAGUCGUGUGUGAAAGGCGCGGGCUCAACCCGCGGACGGCACAUGAUACUGCGAGACUAGAGUAAUGGAGGGGGAAGCGGAAGUCUCGGUGUAGCAGUGAAAUGCGUAGAUAUCGAGAGGAACACUCGUGGCGAAGGCGGGUUCCUGGACAUUAACUGACGCUGAGGCACGAAGGCCAGGGGAGCGAAAGGGAUUAGAGACCCCAGUAGUC